CGCGGGAUUUGCCUGACUGAANNGNCAGCAGCCGCGGUAAUACGGAGGGUGCAAGCGUUAUCCGGAUUCACUGGGUUUAAAGGGUGCGUAGGCGGGUAUGUAAGUCAGCGGUGAAAUCCCCGAGCUUAACUUGGGAACUGCCGNUGAUACUAUAUAUCUUGAAAUGUCGUGGAGGUUAGCGGAAUAUGUCAUGUAGCGGNGAAAUGCUUAGAUAUGAUAUAGAACACCCAUUGNGAAGGCAGNUAACUACGCGAAUAUUGACGCUGAGGCACGAAAGCGUGGGGAUCAAACAGGAUUAGAUACCCUGGUAGNCCACGNCCUAAACGAUGAUUACUCGACAUUGGNGAUACACUGNCAGUGUCUGAGCGAAAGCAUUAAGUAAUCCACCUGGGAAGUACGACCGNAAGGUUGAAACUCAAAGGAAUUGGGGGGGUCCGCACAAGCGGGGGAGNAUUUGGNUUANUUCGGAUGAUACGGGAAGGAACUUAACNGGGNUAGAAUGCUGGNGGGAUAUGGUGAAAGCUCAUGGUAGGAAUACCCCCAGUAAGGUG
rnacentral:rRNA from 1 species